rnacentral:rRNA from 1 species
GAUGAACGCUGGCGGCGUGCCUAAUACAUGCAAGUCGAGCGAACAGACGAGGAGCUUGCUCCUCUGACGUUAGCGGCGGACGGGGGAGUAACAAGUGGAUAACCUACCUAUAAGACUGGGAUAACUUCGGGAAACCGGAGCUAAUACCGGAUAAUAUAUUGAACCUCAUGGUUCAAUAGUGAAAGACGGUUUUGCUGUCACUUAUAGAUGGAUCCGCGCCGCAUUAGCUAGUUGGUAAGGUAACGGCUUACCAAGGCAACGAUGCGUAGCCGACCUGAGAGGGUGAUCGGCCACACUGGAACUGAGACACGGUCCAGACUCCUACGGGAGGCAGCAGUAGGGAAUCUUCCGCAAUGGGCGAAAGCUUGACGGAGCAACGCCGCGUGAGUGAUGAAGGUCUUCGGAUCGUAAAACUCUGUUAUUAGGGAAGAACAAAUGUGUAAGUAACUAUGCACGUCUUGACGGUACCUAAUCAGAAAGCCACGGCUAACUACGUG